AUCUGGCCAUGAGAGGAUAUACUGUGGAUCAGUUGGGAAGCAAUGUGUGCGCUGCUAUAAUAUACUGUUAAUUUGUCUGAGAAGGAGAAUCCUAUUGUUGCGGUGAAGCUAUCCUUUUUCAAAACUUGUUCCAACUGUGUAUUGUAUUUUAUCAAUAGACCUGAAAUAUAUCAGUCUCGACUACCCGCUGCAUUUAUGCAUAUUAUUAGGCGGAGGAAAAGAGAAUAAUUAUGAUUCCCUCAGUAAAGGCGAGUGUAACGGGAUCGGCUCAAAGUAAAAAACGCGGGCACUCGUUUCGCCCCGCUAGUCGUAGCCUUUAGAGGCGUUACCAAAGGAGGAGGAGAUCCAAGUGUCUUGGAACAGAACUUCAGAGGGUGACAGUCCCGUCCUUUGCCCUGCAUCUUUUGUUUCCACGUACGGUUCUUUUUUAUUGGGUUGCAUUCAUUGGGAUUUAAGCGCAAAAUAUAUUAUAAGUUUUCCGUAAAGCUAAAUAUUGGCGCGAGACCGAUAGCGAACAAGAACUGUGAAGGAAGGAUGAAAACACGUUAGAAGAAAGUUAAAAGUACCUGAAAAUGCAGGAAGGGAAGCGACUGAAAUUUUUACAUCUCUCGGGUGUCCCUAGGUGUUUUGAAUCUCUUCCGCUUUUUUUCGUCAUAAAAGUUUGGAGUUUUAGAUUCUUCCUUUUUCCCCAGUUGAUUCCUUGAGCUUGGUCAGCAUCAGCAGGUAAGCAUCAAUUCUUCCCAUGGAAGGUAAGGCCCUUGUGGGCUGUUAUAGCCUCGGGUUAUUUUGUUAGCCUACCUGCUCAGGUGUGUUCUUGCGCGUUCUUCGUUGUCUUUGCUUCUUACCGGCCUCUUUUAAACAUACCCUGGAAUAAGAUUAUCUGAAGGUAGGGCUGACUGGAUGGUAAAGCUUCCUGGCUUUCAGGAAGUCCGGUGGGCUCCUGACUGCCCUUGAAAAGAAGGGAAAGUUGUUAUUUGCACCGCUGGCCAUACCAUUAACCGCAUCAGGUUUCCAACGUUAGAACACUGGCCGAUAGAAUAAAGUAGAAAAAAAAGUCGGAAAGAUAUAUCCGCAACUCCGAAAAGAAAAUUGGCGCUGAGGGGUGGUGAGGUAUUCUGCCAUUGUGUGCUUCGUUGGUCGGAGCUUUGCUGGCCCUUUCGUGCCUCGCGGCGGUUUGUAGAUCGCUGGCUCUGACUGCGUUGUGACCGUUGGUUUGCGUGUACACUGAACAGAUAACUCAGAACUGGAGCUGACAAGCGGAAUCCGACAUUUUAAUUAAAACAAAGUACUGCAGUGGUCGCAAACGGCGUUGCGGCAUUAAGCGUUUUGGCCAGUGCUCUGAAGGUCAAUGUAAUGAAAGUCAAUCAAGUGCGGGUUAACGGCGGAUAUAACUAUGACUUUCUUAAGGUAGCGAAAGGCUUCGUCAUCUAAUUACUGACGUGCACGAAAGAAUUAAAGAGAUUCACACUGUCCCUAUCUACUAUCUAGAAAACCCACAAAAACCAAGGGAACAGGCUCGGCGGAAACACGCCAAAGAAGCAUCUUCUGCAUGCAGUACCUCCCUCGAAGUGGAAAAGUAGAGACUACGAAGAGGGAAAAACCAAAAUAGGAUUAGGGAGCGUGUCCAGAAACGCUGCUACUGUUUGCUGUUAUGCAGAAACUUCCUGCGCAGCCGCUAGCCUCCUUGUGGCCGAAAGAGACUUUUUGAAAAUUAGCGGGGAAAGAAGAUCCUGUUGAGCUUGACUCUAGUCCGACAUUGUGGAAUGACUUGCAGGGUGUAAAACAGAUGGAAGCUUCGGAGAUUAAAAAACGAUACCACGCCCCUCAGUGGCGUUUUACUUAUUUCUUCAAGUUGAUACGCAUGCUCUGCAUGUGAAAUUUACCUUAAGGCGCCUUCUGGCGCUUAUCAAUGCGAAAGACACAAUCAGGUGGGGAGUUUAGCUGGAACAGCACAUCUGUAAAACAACAUUUUAGGUGUCCUAAUGCAAGCUCAAUGGGAACAGAAAUCUCACGCUGACCACAAGAGCAAAAGUCUGCUUGAUAUUGAUUUUCAGUACGAAUACAAACUGGGAAAAGCAUAGCCUAUCGAUUCUUUGGUUUGAGAAACUUUCAGCUAGAGGUGUGGGAAAAGUUUUCGCAGGGAUCACUGGCUUAUAGCAGCUAAGUGUUCAUAGCGACGUUUCCUUUUGAUCCUUCGAUGUCGGAUCUUUCUAUCAAUGAGACGCAGAAGCCUCAAAGUGUCGGAUUGUUCACCUGCCAAUAGGGAACGUGUGCUGGGUUUAGACCGUCGCGAGGCAGGUUCGUUUUCUUAUACCGAUGAAUUCGAUACUGCGACAGUAAUCCAAUUAAGUACGAGAAGAACAGUUGGUUCAGAUACUUGGUUAGUGCGGCUAGCUGAAAAGCUAGUGUCGCGACGCCACGUGUUGAUUAUGCCUCAACGGUUCGAAGUUAGAAUCCAUGCUGAAUGGCCAGUGUUUCUCACCGCCUCAUUAGUCACUUGCAAUUCCUUUUAGUGCGUCUUUGGCACUCCUUUUCACCAACGCCCUCUGCGUCACCGUCUGGCAGCCAAUCGCAAUUUCUUGCAUCUGAGGUGC
rnacentral:rRNA from 1 species